GACGAACGCUGGCGGCGUGCCUAACACAUGCAAGUCGAACGGGGUGUUCCUUCGGGGACACUUAGUGGCGAACGGGUGAGUAACGCGUGAGAAACCUGCCUCUCAGUGGGGGACAACAGUUGGAAACGACUGCUAAUACCGCAUAAUGUUAUCGGGUCGCAUGAUCUGAUAACCAAAGCUUUAUGUGCUGAGAGAUGGUCUCGCGUCUGAUUAGCUAGAUGGCGGGGUAACGGCCCACCAUGGCGACGAUCAGUAGCCGGUCUGAGAGGUUGAACGGCCACAUUGGGACUGAGACACGGCCCAAACUCCUACGGGAGGCAGCAGUAGGGAAUUUUCGGCAAUGGGGGAAACCCUGACCGAGCAACGCCGCGUGAGUGAAGACGGCCUUCGGGUUGUAAAGCUCUGUUGUAAAGGAAGAAAGGCAUGGAUAGAAUCCAUGAGUGACGGUACUUUACCAGAAAGCCACGGCUAACUACGUG
rnacentral:rRNA from 1 species